AGAGACCGGCGCACGGGUGCGUAACGCGUAUGCAAUCUACCUUUUACAGAGGGAUAGCCCAGAGAAAUUUGGAUUAAUACCUCAUAGUAUAGCAGUUUCGCAUGAAGCCUCUAUUAAAGUCACAACGGUAAAAGAUGAGCAUGCGUCCCAUUAGCUAGUUGGUAAGGUAACGGCUUACCAAGGCUACGAUGGGUAGGGGUCCUGAGAGGGAGAUCCCCCACACUGGUACUGAGACACGGACCAGACUCCUACGGGAGGCAGCAGUGAGGAAUAUUGGACAAUGGGCGCAAGCCUGAUCCAGCCAUGCCGCGUGCAGGAUGACGGUCCUAUGGAUUGUAAACUGCUUUUAUACGAGAAGAAACACUGCUACGUGUAGCAGCUUGACGGUAUCGUAAGAAUAAGGAUCGGCUAACUCCGUGCCAGCAGCCGCGGUAAUACGGAGGAUCCAAGCGUUAUCCGGAAUCAUUGGGUUUAAAGGGUCCGUAGGCGGUUUAAUAAGUCAGUGGUGAAAGCCCAUCGCUCAACGGUGGAACGGCCAUUGAUACUGUUAGACUUGAAUUAUUAGGAAGUAACUAGAAUAUGUAGUGUAGCGGUGAAAUGCUUAGAGAUUACAUGGAAUACCAAUUGCGAAGGCAGGUUACUACUAAUUGAUUGACGCUGAUGGACGAAAGCGUGGGUAGCGAACAGGAUUAGAUACCCUGGUAGUCCACGCCGUAAACGAUGGAUACUAGCUGUUGGAAGCAAUUUCAGUGGCUAAGCGAAAGUGAUAAGUAUCCCACCUGGGGAGUACGUUCGC
rnacentral:rRNA from 1 species